AUAGUAUACAGAUUCAGCAUUGGGACUGGUAUUAAACAUUUAUGGGUAAGAGAUGGGGCAUGCGUUCUAUUAGUUAGUUGGAGUGGUAACGGUCACCCCAAGACAGCGAUAGAUAGGGGCCCUGAGAGGGGGAUCCCCCACACUGGUACUGAGACACGGACCACGACUCCUACGGGAGGCAGCAGUGAGGAAUAUUGGACAAUGGGCGAGAGCCUCGAUCCAGCCAUGCCGCGUGCAGGAAGACGGCCCUAUGGGUUGUAAACUGCUUUUGUACGGGAAGAAACACCCCCUCGUGAGGGGGCUUGACGGUACCGUAAGAAUAAGGAUCGGCUAACUCCGUG
rnacentral:rRNA from 1 species